AUGAAGCUGCCCCCUUCCCCACAGGCGCUCCUCCGUGAUGGACUUGAACUCCCACCUGGGCCCUUGCACAUGGUAAUACUGUGUUGUACAGGCUGAGCCACCUGCCAAGCCCCGCAGUAAACAACUGCAGAAUGGCAAGGAGAAAUGCAGGAGACAGUGAUCUGGACAGUACCAAAAACAAAGAGUUCUGAAGCUUCACUGAAAUCACAUAAGGCGGCUACCAUAUACUGAGCACUCAAUAAAUAAAUGCCAACUGUUAUUGUUAACAGUA